rnacentral:rRNA from 1 species
UACGUAGGGAGCAAGCGUUGUCCGGAAUCAUUGGGCGUAAAGCGCGCGUAGGUGGCCUCGUAAGUCCGCUGUGAAAGUCAAAGGCUCAACCUUUGAAAGCCAGUGGAUACUGUGAGGCUAGAGUACGGAAGAGGCGAGUGGAAUUCCUGGUGUAGCGGUGGAAUGCGCAGAUAUCAGGAGGAACACCAAUAGCGAAGGCAGCUCGCUGGGACGUUACUGACACUGAGGCGCGAAAGCGUGGGGAGCGAACAGG